rnacentral:ncRNA from 1 species
UUAGCGGGAAGCCCACCUCAAGAUAAGAUAUCCCUCUUGAUGGAGACAUCAAGACUGAAGACCCCUUGUAGACGACGAGGUUGAUAGGUCAGGUGUGUAAGCGCAGUAAUGCGUUCAGCUAACUGAUACUAAUCGGUCGUGAGGCUUGACCAU